rnacentral:rRNA from 1 species
GGCCUUGACGUUACCCGCAAAAGAAGCACCGGCUAACUCCGUGCCAGCAGCCGCGGUAAUACGGAGGGUGCAAGCGUUAAUCGGAAUUACUGGGCGUAAAGCGCACGUAGGCGGGCAAUUAAGUCGGAUGUGAAAUCCCCGGGCUUAACCUGGGAACUGCAUCCGAUACUGGUUGCCUAGAGUAUGGAAGAGGGAAGCGGAAUUCCAGGUGUAGCGGUGCUUCUUUUGCGGGUAACGUCAAGGCC